GGAUUAAAAGGCCUGGUAUCUGGAAACACUUCCUGAAGCAAUACAUAGCAAGAUAUAUAUUCAUUCAUGAUUCUUCUGGAAAUGUCCUUCAUAAAUUCUUGGAAGAAGCUGCCCGCCUAUACCCCCCGUUAAGUGAGAAUCAACGUCAGCAAUCGGGCCAAUAAGGAAGCUUCAAGGACCAGCAACACAUUUCAGUAUGACCAGUACAGACUCAACCAUACACACUGUCCAGACCUAUACAGUAUAUUAUGACGGCACCAAUGACAACUGAUGAAACACAGUUGAUCUGUGGGAGAUAAGGAAACCUCAAGAGCACAAUACACAGAAGUCUUGGAAGAACUCUGAAGAAAACAGUACGAGACAUACCAAAAGGUACUUUCUCCAUCACUGCCUAAAGUGGACCUGAAUUUAGUUGGACCUGAUGUGAAUUAGUCUAAAGUGGGCUGGACCUAAAGUUAAUUGGACCUGCAGUGAACUAGACCUGAAGUUAACUGGGCCUACAGGAC
rnacentral:lncRNA from 1 species